rnacentral:lncRNA from 1 species
CAACAAACUUCACAAUUCCAAAGAUAUGGAAUCAACCUAAGUGCCCAUCGACAGAUGAGUGAAUAAAGAAAAUGUGAUCUAUAUAUCACAUGGAUAUACACGGCCACAUCUCACAGGAAAAAUUCCAGAUCAUCCAUGGGAACUUCCCCUUACCUCAGCGCCUUUGGGGACUUUGACCAAAACUAGGAAGGCUGCAUCAGUAGGGAAAAGAUGCUUUCCUUUUCCUGUGCUUCAGCUCCUUGCUGGGAGUCUACAUGGGUUUUGUACACAGUUUCCAGGAGGGCAACUCCUAGAGUGCAGUAGCCUGCUGCCACUGCGAAGCCCUGAUCCUGGGCAUCUAUAAGCAGGGCCUCAACUGCCAAGCCAGUGGUAUGAGCUGCCACCAGCAGUGCAAGGAUUGCCUGUAAGUUGAGCACCAGUGCAGGCCCCAGAGUGUGGGCCUGGAGGAGUCUCCACGUCACCCUCACACACUCAUACCCACCAUCAUCCCACCUUCAGCUUCUCCCUGCCCUGCCAUGGCAAACGAGACUCCCAGCCUCCAGAGAUUCAUGAGGAGGAGAUGCAGAUGGUGAAGGAUGGGGUGUUUGACAACUGC